rnacentral:rRNA from 1 species
GUGGGGAAUAUUGGACAAUGGGCGAAAGCCUGAUCCAGCAAUGCCGCGUGUGUGAAGAAGGUCUUCGGAUUGUAAAGCACUUUCGACGGGGACGAUGAUGACGGUACCCGUAGAAGAAGCCCCGGCUAACUUCGUGCCAGCAGCCGCGGUAAUACGAAGGGGGCUAGCGUUGCUCGGAAUGACUGGGCGUAAAGGGCGCGUAGGCGGUUCAUACAGUCAGAUGUGAAAUUCCAGGGCUUAACCUUGGGGCUGCAUUUGAUACGUAUGGACUAGAGUGUGAGAGAGGGUUGUGGAAUUCCCAGUGUAGAGGUGAAAUUCGUAGAUAUUGGGAAGAACACCGGUGGCGAAGGCGGCAACCUGGCUCAUUACUGACGCUGAGGCGCGAAAGCGUGGGGAGCAA